GAGAUGCCUGGGGGGAUGGGAGGGGUCUUUAUUGGUCUGGGAGGCAAGCAAAGACUCCUAAAAUGGCUACAGGAAGCUCACUGGUGUCUGAAGGACAGUGGCGAGGGCGGUGGGCAGAGGAAUAUGGACCAAAUGUUGGAUGACAUUUCCACUUGCUUAUUUGGCUGAGAAUGAGGAAAAAAUGCUUUUCAACAGAAACUGACCAUCUUUUCAUGGUGCCAACUCUGGGCAAUGAAAGCCAGGCCUGCCCUUCUGCAUCUGCUGAAAGUUGAGGUUGUCAACUCUAAUCACACCCAUUAUUAUUCUGUAUGAUCUUUCCAAUAACUCUGUGAGCAAAUAAAAUGGAGUUUUAAUUGUAA